rnacentral:rRNA from 1 species
GUACACUCCUGCGGGAGGCAGCAGUGGGGAAUUUUGGACAAUGGGCGAAAGCCUGAUCCAGCAAUGCCGCGUGCAGGAUGAAGGCCUUCGGGUUGUAAACUGCUUUUGUACGGAACGAAAAAGCUCCUUCUAAUACAGGGGGCCCAUGACGGUACCGUAAGAAUAAGCACCGGCUAACUACGUGCCAGCAGCCGCGGUAAUACGUAGGGUGCGAGCGUUAAUCGGAAUUACUGGGCGUAAAGCGUGCGCAGGCGGUUAUGUAAGACAGAUGUGAAAUCCCCGGGCUCAACCUGGGAACUGCAUUUGUGACUGCAUGGCUAGAGUACGGUAGAGGGGGAUGGAAUUCCGCGUGUAGUAGUGAAAUGCGUAGAUAUGCGGAGGAACACCGAUGGCGAAGGCAAUCCCCUGGACCUGUACUGACGCUCAUGCACGAAAGCGUGGGGAGCAAACAGGAUUAGAAACCCUUGUAGUCCCAUG